rnacentral:rRNA from 1 species
GGACUACACGGGUUUCUAAUCCUGUUUGCUCCCCACGCUUUCGUGCCUCAGCGUCAGUUUCUGUCCAGCAAGGCGCCUUCGCCACUGGUAUUCCUCCACAUAUCUACGCAUUUCACCGCUACACGUGGAAUUCCCCUUGCCUCUCCAGCACUCAAGUCAUGCAGUUUCCAAAGCAUUCCCAUGGUUGAGCCAUGGACUUUCACUCCAGACUUACACAACCGCCUACGCACGCUUUACGCCCAGUGAUUCCGGACAACGCUUGCCCCCUACGUAUUACCGCGGCUGCUGGCAC